rnacentral:lncRNA from 1 species
GGGCCCGUGUGCAGUCUAUAUGGAUUCUAGUACCUACUAAAUAAUUAAUAUAAUUUUUCGAAUUAGAGGUAGAGGCUAUCAAUUCAUAUAAAAUAAUGAAAGAAUCUUUAGACUUUUAAGUCUUUAUGAUUAAAUAAUUCAUAUACUCAUAAGUCUUAUAUUUUUUUUCAAAAAAUGGCUAACACUUUAUCACUUUGCUCACUGUUGGAUAGCAACAAGCUCAUUGGAUC